UACGGGAGGCAGCAGUGGGGAAUAUUGCACAAUGGGCGCAAGCCUGAUGCAGCGACGCCGCGUGAGGGAUGACGGCCUUCGGGUUGUAAACCUCUUUCAGCACAGACGAAGCGCAAGUGACGGUAUGUGCAGAAGAAGGACCGGCCAACUACGUGCCAGCAGCCGCGGUAAUACGUAGGGUCCGAGCGUUGUCCGGAAUUAUUGGGCGUAAAGGGCUCGUAGGCGGUUUGUCGCGUCGGGAGUGAAAACACCGGGCUUAACUCGGUGCUUGCUUUCGAUACGGGCAGACUAGAGGCAUUCAGGGGAGAACGGAAUUCCUGGUGUAGCGGUGAAAUGCGCAGAUAUCAGGAGGAACACCGAUGGCGAAGGCAGGUCACUGGGCCGCAACUGACGCUGAGGAGCGAAAGCAUGGGGAGCGAACAGGAUUAGAUACCCUGGUAGUCCA
rnacentral:rRNA from 1 species